rnacentral:lncRNA from 1 species
GUUCUCGGUAGAACCCUUCUUGGAGGGUUCUAAUCAGAACUCUUCAUAGAGGGUUCUAAGUAGAACCAUAUACAGGGGGUUCUAUGAAGAACCCUUCAUAAAGGGUUCUAGGGAGAAACCACUGCAAAGGGUUCUACCUAGCACCAAAAAGGGUUCCCCUAUGGGGGUAAAUUGAAGAACCCUAUAUGGCUCUACUCAGAGCCAUUUUUUUCUAAGAGUGUAGUCAUAUUAACAACCCAUCCAAAUUGCAUUUGGCAAAUUUUUGAAAAUGCAACAUUGCAUCCCUAUUAGGCCUACAUUUGGUUGAGAAUCAUUGAUGAACAGCAAUAUUCAAACCUUGUCUUUGAUUUGAGACUGGACCAUUCAAGAACAAUCAACACCAUUUGUAAUGCCAUUCUGGUGUCGUUGGCAUUAAAAUGUGUGUAAUUGUCCAAUACAACUCUAUCCCAGGGUUAGGUAUUCAGAAGAAUGAGGCAGGGUUUCCUCUAACUUAUUAUCUGGGCUUUGCUCCUUUCAUGUAUUUAUUUUGAUCCUGACGGUGACAACUAUACCUGAUGCUGCCGCCACAAUACUUGAAAAUAUAGAUAAUCAACAACAUUGCAUUCACUCCACCUUACUGGCCUGUAUGACAAAGUGAAAAGAAGAAAGCCUGUGUUAAAAAAAAAAAACAUUACGUAGUACUGCAAGACAACACAGCAAAGAAAGUCACUUUUUGGCCUGAAUUAAAAGCGACAGGUUUGGGUCAAAUUCAAUACAAAACAACAGAGUGAAAUCCUUUGUAUUUUCAAGUAUUGUGGUGGUAGCAUCAUGUUAUACAAUUACACAAAUGACCUGCUAAUUGGAGUGGAACGUUAGCAAAACAGGUUCUGUUUUUUUUCAGGCUCUGAGGUUGUGAGAGGAAACUUUCCAAACAAUUGUAUUGCUUUGUUUCAGACCGGGAUACCUAGCUAUCACAAUCUGAUGUCUUAAGCUAUAUCCCGAGGAUCAUACAUGUAUGAUGCACCUCAUAGUCCUCACCAACAGAGACCAGCAUCUCCAUGACAUUGUUCAGCUCUAAAAGAAAAGGGUGAAGUAGUAGUCUGCUUCUCCAGAAGGGGGAGUAGUGAACUCAUUAUGACGCUAAGCAUUCAGUUGUUCCACUCUCCCAUAAGAGGUCCUCUAUGUCAUUCUAUGCACUCUCCCUUCUGCGCCAUGAUAAUGUAGUGAAGGACGUAGCCAAAGCAUUAAUCAGUCACGCUUAACAGUUCCAAUGCAUAAUGUCCCCGAAGACAAGUCCGACCAAACGCCAAUGCAUCUUCAGGGGCCCAUUGAAAUGGUGAUCACAUAAAUAGAUAACAGAGAUAAUUCAACUGUCCUUAAACCUUACCAGAACAAGCCAGGUGACCUCCUGUAGCAAUUCACCUCCAUUCGAUGUAUGUUUGAUGCAUAUUUUACUGCUUUGGUCAAUGGGUUGAACAUAAAUGAAAUCCCCUUUCUCUUGCUUUUGCUUUGUCAUUCAGUUUAAUAUUUGGUCAGCAGUUGUAUUUUGUUUGUGUAAAUAUGACCUUAUGCGGAAC